rnacentral:lncRNA from 1 species
UUUAUGAUUAAUGAUAUCUAGGGAACGACGUGAAACUCGUUUGGCAUAGGUGGAGGGACAGAAGGGAUCGCCUAAAGAAGCGAACUAGAUUUACUGACCUAAUAGGCUGCUGGUGGAUUACUUGGAAGAUCAGAAAUGACACAAUCUUUCGAAAUAUCGGUCCAAACCCCGAGCUAGCAGUUCGUAGACUCAAGCUUCUCGUGGAUGAGUGGUAUUAUCUACUUGCUUCGUAACGGUUUUUUUUUUUUUUUUUUUUUUCUUAAGCUUAGCUUUUUUGCCCCCGGAGCCUGGUUGUCCCACACUUGUAGCUUAAUUCACUAUUCCAAUGAAUGAAGCGGGUAGCGUGCUACCUUUUUCUCAAAAAAAAAAAAAAUGAUAUCUGUAUAUUUCUAAAUUAGGAGACAGAUAUACAUUUUAUUUAUUCAUCCAAA